UGCAAGUCGUACGAGAGUUUUUACUCUAGUGGCGGACGGGUGAGUAACACGUGAGAAUUUACCUUUAGGAGGGGGAUAACAGCGUAUCAAUAGAUAUUACGGAAACGGCUGCUAAUACCCCAUAUGCUUUUGAGUGAAAUAGAUUUAUCUGCCUAAAGAGGAGCUCGCGUCUGAUUAGCUAGUUGGGGUGGUAAAAGCGCACCAACGCGACGAUCAGUAGCUGGUCUGAGAGGAUGAGCAGCCACACUGGGACUGAGACACGGCCCAGACUCCUACGGGAGGCAGCAGUGGGGAAUUUUCCGCAAUGGGCGAAAGCCUGACGGAGCAAUACCGCGUGAGGGAGGAAGGCUCUUGGGUUGUAAACCUCAAAACUUAGGGAAGAAAAAAAUGACGGUACCUAAUUUAAGCAUCGGCUAACUCCGUGCCAGCAGCCGCGGUAAUACG
rnacentral:rRNA from 1 species